AAACACGUGUUGUGAUCUAAAACGGUACUCUAAUCAACGGCGACUCUCUGAUGUCCGAUGUGGAGGUGGAUUAGUGUUCAAAGCUGCUUGUGUAUGUGACGGCGCAUGGAAAUAUCUGCGGCUCUCUGAUUUCCGACCAUAGAAGAGGGUCUCUUCCUCUGCGCAUCAAACCACGAUUUAUCGUGCAUGUAAACCAUCUCUGUGUCUCUGUUGAUAUUUCUUCUCCCUAGCAAGUGUAAGUUGCAGUAGACAUCAUAGGAGGAGGAGAAGUAGAUGGCAGCAGCCAAAGCCUUGCAUUUAUGUUCACCAUCCCUUACCUUUUCCAAAUUCAAAUCUCCACAGAAGAACUUUGCUGUCACAUUGCCAUGUUAUCCACGAAUCAAGGCAGAGGCAGCAGCAUCAUCGACAACAGUGUCCACCCAAAACACACUAACCCCUUCUCAGUUUAGAGUUGAUAUUCUCUCAGAAUCACUUCCAUUCAUCCAGAAGUUCCGGGGCAAGACCAUUGUUGUCAAAUAUGGCGGGGCUGCCAUGAAAUCCGACCAUCUUAAGGCCUCUGUUGUCAGCGAUCUUGUCCUCCUCUCUUGCGUCGGCCUUCACCCCAUCCUUGUCCACGGUGGGGGCCCUGACAUCAACAACUGGCUUCGCCUACUCAACAUCGAGCCCGUUUUUCAUGACGGUCUUCGUGUUACUGACUCUCAAACCAUGGAGAUUGUCUCCAUGGUCCUUAUUGGUAAGGUUAACAAGAAUUUGGUCUCCCUCAUCAACAAGGCUGGUGGCACUGCCAUCGGCCUCUCUGGCAUGGAUGGUCGCCUCCUUACUGCACGCCCCUCUCCCAAUGCUGCUCAUCUGGGCUUUGUUGGUGAAGUUGCCGGUGUCAACUCCACCGUUCUGCAACCACUCAUCAACAGCGGGCACAUCCCUGUUAUAGCAUCUGUGGCAGCAGAUAUGUACGGACAAUCAUACAACAUCAAUGCUGAUAUUGUGGCAGGGGAGGUGGCUGCAGCAUUGGGGGCGGAGAAACUUAUUCUUCUGACAGAUGUUGUGGGGAUUUUGGAGGAUAAGGAUGAUCCUGAAAGCUUGGUGAAGGAGAUUGACAUAAAGGGGGUGAAGAAGAUGAUAGAGGACAAGAAGGUGGCUGGUGGGAUGAUCCCGAAAGUGAACUGUUGUGUGCGGUCUCUUGCUCAAGGAGUUAGGACUGCGAGUAUCAUCGAUGGCCGUGUCGAGCACUCUUUACUUCAUGAGAUCAUGACCGAUGAAGGUGUCGGGACUAUGAUUACCGGUAAUUCAGGCCAGUUUGGGAGUCUUGAUCUCAAUUUCUUAUGUCAAAGCAUCACAAUGAAUAUCAUUUACUAGUAAAGCAUCACUGCGUCAACACUGGACUAGAAUAUCAACAACCACCUUCAGAAGGUAUUGAGGUGGAGACUGAGGAACCAGUUACUGUGGGCUAUAGUAUGUCAAUGUCUUCAGAAGAUGUUGUAAAUGUGAAAGAUAGGCGAAUGAUUCGGUGGGAUAGAGAGACUUCAAGGAUUCUCAUGCAGAAGAUGGAAAGGGGCAAUUGAUGGACAAAAAUAUCUCAUUGAGUAUGCUACAUAUUUCAUUGAUCAUUCAGGGCAUAUCUCAUGUACUUGAUCAAAUAAUCUUACCCUCUUUACAAGAGAAAGGGACUAGUGAUCAAGAAGGUGACGAAUAGGAAAACCCUGAAGAAAAAUGGGAUGGUUUCCUUCAUUCUUCCUGGCACAACCAAUUAAGCAGCUGCCACCUUUUGGGAAAGAAGACGUGUGCUCUCAUGGUGGCCAGUACAAGCAGGAUAGUAGCACGACUUGACGUUCAGCAGCUUUCCCUUAGGCUCUGGCAAAGGUGGUGACACCGGACUGUCCUCAGGUGAAGACACGCUCUUAUGGCUAUCAUCAUCAUCUCCUUCUUCACCGUCUUUAAGCAGCUGUUUCUUGGACAGAGUUGCUCCUUUAUGUUUUAUUGCGCUGG